rnacentral:rRNA from 1 species
UACGGGGGGGGCAAGCGUUGUUCGGAAUUACUGGGCGUAAAGGGCUCGUAGGCGGCCAACUAAGUCAGACGUGAAAUCCCUCAGCUUAACUGGGGAACUGCGUCUGAUACUGGAUGGCUUGAGUUUGGGAGAGGGAUGCGGAAUUCCAGGUGUAGCGGUGAAAUGCGUAGAUAUCUGGAGGAACACCGGUGGCGAAGGCGGCUUUCUGGACAGACACCGACGCUGAGGCACGAAAGCUAGGGGAGCAAACAGG